rnacentral:RNase_P_RNA from 1 species
CGGGCGGGCCGGGUGAUCGCUGGCCUGGUCAUCGCGAGAUGGCUGGGCGGGAGGAAAGUCCGGACACCGUCCUGAGGCACGCUCUUCACUUUGUGAGGGGCGGAACUCUUGACAGGGCAACGCGCCUGGUAACGCCAGGGGGCUUGCCACGCAGGGUCUGCCGGAAGGCAGAGUUACACGCUUCGGCGUGUGGCGCCGGGUUCAACCCGACGCGGUGCGGCUGAGCUACGGAAAGUGCCACAGAGAAUAGACCGCCGGCGGAGCGCAGCACGGUGGCAUCGCGCAGGGAAACCUGCGAGACGUCUUCGAAAUGCACGCAACGUUUGGCAAGGGUGAAAAGGUGGGGUAAGAGCCCACCGCUCCGGUGGCGACACCGGAGGCACGGAAAACCCCGCGUGGUGCAAGGCCAAAUAGGAGGGGAGAGCCGGCCCGGCUCGUCAGAACCCUCGGGUAGGCUGCUGGAGUCACGGUGCGAAUCGUGACCUAGAGGAAUGAUCGCCGCGAUACGCAGUUCGCUUCGCGAAUUGCGCGCCGCACAGAAUCCGGCUUACAGGCUCGUCCGCCAU